ensembl:miRNA mir-79 ncRNA
CUUUGGUGAUUCAGCUUCAAUGA